rnacentral:rRNA from 1 species
AUUGAACGCUGGCGGCAGGCCUAACACAUGCAAGUCGAACGGUAACAGGAAGAAGCUUGCUUAUUUGCUGACGAGUGGCGGACGGGUGAGUAAUGUGUGGGCUACUGCUUGAUGGAGGGGGACUUCUACUGGAAACGGUUGCUACUACCGCAUAACGUCGCCAGCACAACGAUGGGGACCUACGGGGCUCUUGCCAUCCGCUUAGACCUGGUGGGAUUAGCUAGUAGGUGGGGUAAGGGGUCACCUAGGAGAAGGGCCCUAGCUGGUCGGGGAGGAUGACCGCCCACACUGGAACUGAGACACGCUCCAGACUCCUACGGGAGGCAGCAGUGGGGAAUAUUGCACAAUGGGCGCAAGCCUGAUGCAGCCAUGCCGCGUGUAUGAAGAAGGCCUUCGGGUUGUAAAGUACUUUCAGCGGGGAGGAAGGGAGUAGAGUGAAUACCUUUGCUCAUUGACGUUACCCGCAGAAGAAGCACCGGCUAACUCCGUG